rnacentral:rRNA from 1 species
UACGAAGGGGGCUAGCGUUGCUCGGAAUCACUGGGCGUAAAGCGCACGUAGGCGGUUUGCUAAGUCAGGGGUGAAAUCCUGGAGCUCAACUCCAGAACUGCCUUUGAUACUGGCGAUCUCGAGUCCGGGAGAGGUGAGUGGAGCUGCGAGUGUAGAGGUGAAAUUCGUAGAUAUUCGCAAGAACACCAGUGGCGAAGGCGGCUCACUGGCCCGGUACUGACGCUGAGGUGCGAAAGCGUGGGGAGCAAACAGG